AGAUAUCUGGAUGACCAGCUGCAGAAAGGAGCUACUCAUUCCAGGGCCUCCUCUCUGCUGAGAGCAGCAGACAUCAGGAUGACCAGCUGCAGAGAGGAGCUACCCACUCCAGGGCCUCCUCUUUGAUGAGAGCUGCAGAGACAGUGGGACAACCUGUCUGCAGAGAAAAGGUACCCACUCCAAGGCUUCCUCUGAGCUAUUCUGACACUCAGUAAAGCUCCUCUUUGCCUUGCUCACCCUCUGCUUGUCUGUGUACCUCAUUCUUCCUGUAUGCAGGACAAGAACUCAGGACCUAUAGAAUGGCAGGGCUGAAAGAGCUGUGACACAAGCAGGUGAAGAGGAGAGAAGAGCUGUGGCCCUUUGGAAUACAACAUGUUUAAGACCACAGAACAUCUGCAUAGGCUGUAAAUUUCGUUGAAUGAUGGAUGCAAAGAUGGAAGACAGAUGGAUAGAGGAAAAGACAGAAUCAGAUACUGGAUGAGUUAGUACUGCUGCCUGUGCUUCAGAGCUGUCUUAUUACCACAAGGCCGGCAAGCAUCAAUGUCCCCACAUCCCCCUCUGCCUCCCCCUGAAAUGUACCGAUUUAUAUGAAAAUUAAGAUUACAAAUUAAAGCCUGGCUAUCCUGGAGUUUUCCAGUUCAUCAGCCAUCCAAUAAAAAUGAUGUCAAGCCUGUAUGCAUAAUUCCCGGAAGAUUACUUUCGUCCUUACAGCUAAGCCCUGUCCCUGAUAUGAAAGAUCUCUAUCCACUUUUAUUGAAAUAAAGAACUAACAUCAUAAUCCCAAUAUUGAGGUAUAAUCUUCAUUAUC
rnacentral:lncRNA from 1 species